UGCAGUCGUGCGAGAAAGUAUCUUCGGAUAUGAGUAGAGCGGCGGACGGGUGAGUAACGCGUAGGAAUCUACCUAGUAGAAGGGGAUAGCCCGAGGAAACUCGGAUUAAUACCGUAUACCUCCUUAGGGAGAAAGAGGGCCUCUCUUGAAGCUCUCGCUAUUAGAUGAGCCUGCGUAAGAUUAGCUUGUUGGUGAGGUAAUGGCUCACCAAGGCUACGAUCUUUAGCUGGUCUGAGAGGACGAUCAGCCACAUUGGGACUGAGACACGGCCCAGACUCCUACGGGAGGCAGCAGUGGGGAAUAUUGGACAAUGGGCGCAAGCCUGAUCCAGCCAUACCGCGUGUGUGAAGAAGGCCCUAGGGUUGUAAAGCACUUUAAGCAGGGAGAAAAAGUUAUGAGUUAAUACCUCAUAACCUUGAUGUUACCUGCAGAAUAAGCACCGGCUAAUUCCGUGCCAGCAGCCGCGGUAAUACGGAAGGUGCAAGCGUUAAUCGGAAUUACUGGGCGUAAAGCGCGCGUAGGUGGUUUGUUAAGUUGGAUGUGAAAGCCCUGGGCUCAACCUAGGAACUGCAUCCAAAACUAACUCACUAGAGUACGAUAGAGGGAGGUAGAAUUCAUAGUGUAGCGGUGGAAUGCGUAGAUAUUAUGAAGAAUACCAGUGGCGAAGGCGGCCUCCUGGAUCUGUACUGACACUAAGGUGCGAAAGCGUGGGUAGCGAACAGGAUUAGAUACCCUGGUAGUCCACGCCGUAAACGAUGACAACUAGCUGUUGGAAG
rnacentral:rRNA from 1 species